ensembl:lncRNA
AUGACGGUGUGGAGGGGAGCAAGAGGUAUCAGUCAGGUUUGUGCAGAAUUUGAGACAUCCAGAAUUACCAUAGGCCCAUUAGAAUCAACAAUCUUUGCCAAACUUGAUUCGGACUGCAAAAUUUACGAAGAUGUUUUCAUACUGAAGAAGAGACCUUGGACAAAUAUUGAAACCCUCUUGGUGCCCACUACACAGGUAAGAACAACUGCACUCAACACAACCUUGUAUUAAAACAUUAUUCUCUCACUGGUUACUGGAAAUUGACAAAAAAAGACAGAUAAGAUAAGGUUUAUUAAUACAAUAAAUACAAAAUAUGUGGUAUAUCUAUAAACUGAUAGAUUUAUUUUGAUGCAAGGCAGGGGUGUCCAGACCUGCUCUAGGAAAGCCAGUGUUCUGUGGGGUUCAGCUCUAACACACCUGCCUGGAACUUCAGGUAAGACUUUUUUGUUUUAAAAUUCCCAAGAACCUUGAUUAGCUGGUUCAGGUGUGUUUAAAUGGCUAGAUCACCCAAAAAUAAACAUGUCAUUAUUCACCCUCAUGUCGUUUCAAACCCGUAAGACCAUCAUUCAUCUUCAGAGCACAAAUUAUGAUAUUUUUUAAGGAUGCCCCGAUCAUGAUUUUUCAUGGCCGAUACCGAUUUCUUUUACAAGCAAACUGGACGAUUUUUUUUUUUAUCUUUAAGCAACAAACAAGAAGGAAGGACAGUCCACAGUCUACAGUCCAAAAUUGAGGGAAAGCUCAAUAAAGCCCCUUUCACACUGCGAUUCCGGCAAAUACAGAUCCCGUAACGACACGUGACAUCAGGGCGUGACGUGUAAUGUACGAGUCGAAAACAUUAGGCAUGUAAUACUUUCACUGAAUCUGGCGAACGAUCUCGGUGUCACCGUGGAAAGUGAGGAACUAACUGAUCUCUGCUUCAUACAGUUUGCACUUUUUUUUUUUUCAGUGAACGUUGAUCUUCCUUCAAAACAGCCAGUAAAAGAGUCACACGAUAAUGUCAUCACUACGACACGGCAUUAGAUCUGGCUUUUGUUCACACAGCGCUUGUCCCGGGAUUGAACCCAGCAAUGUUACUACGUCCCCGACCCGAGUUCAAUGCUGGAAUCAAUCCCGGGAUGUGUUUGCUUUCACACAGAAGUAAUGUAGUCGGAGCACGCGGGCGCACUUCCGGAAAAAUCGGCUGAAAAAAAUUCCAAAGACCGGCCGAUUACCAAUUGCGUAUUUAAAGCAAAAACCGUCUGGUUUCCAAUUUAUGGCCGGUCAAUUGGUGCAUCCCUAAUAUUUUUAUGAAAAUGCGAGAGAUUUCUGAACCUCCAUAAAGGCUGCAAUGCAACUGAAAUGUUCCCAGAGUCAUAGUAAGGACAUCAGUAAAACAGUCCAUGUGGCAUCAAUGCUUCAACCACAAUUUUACAAAGGUACAAGAAUACAUUUUGUGCAAAGAAAACAAAAAUAGCGACUUUAAUCAACAAUUCUUCUCCAAAUCACAUAUGCCGCCAUUAUGGAGAGUAACAAGAGGCAUGAACAUUGCUUUCCUCUGCGUGUAAUCAAGGCUCAGUGCAGGCGUGUUGUAGGUCAGCAGCACCAUGUGCAUGAAUUAUUUACGUGCUGUUGAUAAUGGUGGAAGAUGCGAUUUGGAGAAGAAUUGUUGAAUAAAGUCGCUGUUUUAAUUUUGUUUGCACAAAAAAGUAUUUUUGUUUACUUUGUAAAAUUAUGGUUGAACCACUGGUGUCACAUGGACUGUUUUACUGAUGUCCUUACUAUGUUUCUGGGUCUGGGAACAUUCCAGUUCUGUUGUUAACCAUACAGGGUCCAGAUGUGUAACAUUUUCCACUGUAAUGUUUGUUAGAAUCCCAUCUUGACUGCUUGCCUGGAUUUCCCAUAAGAAGAUGAAUGACUGACUUUUUUUCAUGUAAUUUUAGAAAAAAAAAACAAAGGCUAAAUUUUGUUGUUUUCAUCUUCAGACUAAUGAAAUUGAAGUAUCCAAAUGAAGACCCUAGCAGUAUGGAGUAUAUGGUGAGUUCAAGGUUAAUAAAUUAUUUGUUAAAGUUAAUACACAAUAAUUUGAGUUCUCCAUGCUUUUAAAUACUUCUAGGAUACAGACGUUGCCAGCAGUCAGGAGGUGAUCCAGAAGACUCAUGGGAAUCUAUUUGAAGCUGCAUCAUUGAAGACAGUCCAGCAGAAGUUGGAGUUUUAAAGGAUAAAGUUCUUCAGGACCUAUAGCAGUUUACAGUCUGUAAAACCAUGUUACUGGGACUGAUUUAUGGACUGAACUUGAGCAACCCUCCUGAACUCAGGUACACAUUUGGAAUACUGAAGAAGUUAUUUCUGGAGCCACUUCCUGUUCCUGGAAUAAGGUUUGAUUGGUUGCCCAUGAAUGCCAAUUAGAAUUGUAUUUGCUAUUUUGUGUAAUUUUGUAAUGUGGUUUAAACUGUAUUUUACUGUGUGUAAUUAUUUAUUGCUUGUUUAACAAAUACACUUUGAUCAUUUGUGACAUCUUGUCUUUUGUCUCAUUACAAGACAAAACAUACAAAAAAUGCUUUGUUGAAGGGAGUAACUUCAAAAAGAAAAUAUUGUGUUAAAGUAACUAGAACUAAUUGUGUGGAACCACUGUCCAUAAUUGAAAUGAGUAAUUUGAAACAAACCUCCUUAUGUUGAUAGAGUGAAACAAAUUUGGCUAGAUUGUAAUAAACCAAAACAUGUUGAGUUAACUUAACCAGUUUAAGUUGAAGCAAAGUCAAUAAAUUGAGUUGGUUGAACAUUACUAUUUCACAUAGAUUCUACCUCAUUCAGUUGUGUUGUCACAACACAAGGAGUUUGCAUAGAUUCAAAAAAUUCCAUUAAUGUUAUCAAAACACAAUUUGGUUGUGUGGAACCACUGUCCAUAAUUGACUUAAGUAAGUUUAAAGAGUCAUUUUUUUGAGUGUAUAGUUUUAUUCUCAAUGUUACCCUGAAAAUAGGAUACAGGUUCAACUAAUUUGAAGUCCAAGUGCAUGCUGCAUAUUACUGAUAUUAACUAU